CCGCGGGGCCCCCCCGGGUGGGGGGUAGCACGGAGGAUCUCUUUCUGUCGCAGGGAUGACCUCGGCCCUGGCUUCUUGAGGAUGAGCUCUUUCUAGGAGGGAAGAUCUCACUGUGCUGAUCACAGAGGCCUGACCCCCGUCUCCCCUUAAGGCUCGCUGAUCCGGGGCUGGGAGCUGUGGGGGGUGGUCAGCCGGGCCCCAUCACCAGCUGGUGGACAUAGGCAGCCUUUAGGCAUGUCCGGCCUGCUUUCAGGGGUGUGCAUGGGGGACUCAUCAGUGUCCUCCCCCACCUCCGAGAGCUGAUGGCGGGUGGCCUUAUCUCUGGCCUUUAGUAUCACCAGGUCACAGAGUGAUCUCGGUGAGGUGAGGUGUUCAGUCCGUCGCUGGGCCUCAUCCUUCUUCCUUUAUGUCCCGAGCCAAUCAAUCCAGUCCUGUCGGUUUCACUUGUAAAUCUCUCUCAGGUCAGUCUACUUCUCCCCAUCUCCACGGCUACCUCCCUGGGCCGAGCCAGCCUCUCACCUGGCCUGCCACGGCCACCUGACUCAGUGCAGCUCAUAGUGAUUACGGCCCAGAUGUUUGCUGGGCCACAGUGCAGACCACUGGAAAAUCGUGCUAAUAUAAACAUCGGCUAAACUAAA